GGCAAUACUCAUAUAUAUAUAGCAUUAUACCGUGAAACUGCGAAUGGCUCAUUAAAUCAGUUAUCGUUUAUUUGAUAAUACCUUACUACUUGGAUAACCGUGGUAAUUCUAGAGCUAAUACAUGCUGAAAAUCCCGACUUCGGAAGGGAUGUGUUUAUUAGAUAAAAAACCAAUGCCCUUCGGGGCUCUUUGGUGAUUCAUGAUAACUUUACGGAUCGCAUAGCCUUGCGCUGGCGACGGUUCAUUCAAAUUUCUGCCCUAUCAACUUUCGAUGGUAAGGUAUUGGCUUACCAUGGUUUCAACGGGUAACGGGGAAUUAGGGUUCGAUUCCGGAGAGGGAGCCUGAGAAACGGCUACCACAUCCAAGGAAGGCAGCAGGCGCGCAAAUUACCCAAUCCCGACACGGGGAGGUAGUGACAAUAAAUACUGAUACAGGGCUCUUUUGGGUCUUGUAAUUGGAAUGAGUACAAUUUAAACCUCUUAACGAGGAACAAUUGGAGGGCAAGUCUGGUGCCAGCAGCCGCGGUAAUUCCAGCUCCAAUAGCGUAUAUUAAAGUUGUUGCAGUUAAAAAGCUCGUAGUUGAAACUUGGGCCUGGCUGGCGGGUCCGCCUCACCGCGUGCACUCGUCCGGCCGGGCCUUCCUUCUGAAGAACCUCAUGCCCUUCACUGGGCGUGUUGGGGAAUCAGGACUUUUACUUUGAAAAAAUUAGAGUGUUCAAAGCAGGCCUUUGCUCGAAUACGUUAGCAUGGAAAUAAUAAAAUAGGGCGUGCGUUUCUAUUUUGUUGGUUUCUAGAGACGCCGCAAUGAUUAACAGGAACAGUCGGGGGCAUCAGUAUUCAGUUGUCAGAGGUGAAAUUCUUGGAUUUACUGAAGACUAACUACUGCGAAAGCAUUUGCCCAAGGAUGUUUUCAUUAAUCAGUGACGAAAGUAGGGGAUCGAGACGAUCAGAUACCGUCGUAGUCUUAACCGUAAACUAUGCCGACUAG
rnacentral:rRNA from 1 species